AUAAGCGCACACGGUGGAUGCCUAGGCGGUCAGAGGCGAUGAAGGACGUGGUAGCCUGCGAAAAGUGUCGGGGAGCUGGCAACAAGCUUUGAUCCGGCAAUAUCCGAAUGGGGAAACCCACUGCUUCGGCAGUAUCCUGCAGUGAAUUCAUAGCUGCUGGAAGCGAACCCGGUGAACUGAAAUAUCUAAGUAACCGGAGGAAAAGAAAUCAACCGAGAUUCCCUAAGUAGUGACGAGCGAACGGGGAACAGCCCUUAAGCUGGAAUGGCUUUAGAAAAACAAUCUGGAAAGAUUGGCCAUAGAAGGUGAUAGCCCUGUAUUUAAAAGGGCCACUCCAGUGAAGACGAGUAGGGCGGGGCACGUGAAACCCUGUCUGAAUAUGGGGGGACCAUCCUCCAAGGCUAAAUACUCCUGACCGACCGAUAGUGAACCAGUACCGUGAGGGAAAGGCGAAAAGAACCCCGGAGAGGGGAGUGAAAUAGAUCCUGAAACCGUGUGCGUACAAGCAGUAGGAGCUCGCAAGAGUGACUGCGUACCUUUUGUAUAAUGGGUCAGCGACUUACUGUUCGUGGCAAGCUUAACCGUAUAGGGGAGGCGAAGGGAAACCGAGUCUGAUAAGGGCGCAUAGUCGCGGGCAGUAGACCCGAAACCGGGUGAUCUAGUCAUGGCCAGGGUGAAGGUGCCGUAACAGGUACUGGAGGCCCGACCCCACGUCUGUUGCAAAAGACGGGGAUGAGCUGUGAUUAGGAGUGAAAAGCUAAUCGAACCCGGAGAUAGCUGGUUCUCCUCGAAAGCUAUUUAGGUAGCGCCUCGGACGAAUACUACUGGGGGUAGAGCACUGUUAUGGCUAGGGGGUCAUCGCGACUUACCAAACCAUUGCAAACUCCGAAUACCAGUACGUACUAUCCGGGAGACACACGGCGGGNAGAGCACUGUUAUGGCUAGGGGGUCAUCGCGACUUACCAAACCAUUGCAAACUCCGAAUACCAGUACGUACUAUCCGGGAGACACACGGCGGGUGCUAACGUCCGUCGUGAAAAGGGAAACAACCCAGACCCACAGCUAAGGUCCCAAAUUCACUGCUAAGUGGAAAACGAUGUGGAAAGGCACAGACAGCCAGGAGGUUGGCUUAGAAGCAGCCACCCUUUAAAGAAAGCGUAAUAGCUCACUGGUCGAGUCGGUCUGCGCGGAAGAUUUAACGGGGCUAAGCAGUGAACCGAAGCUUGGGGUGCAUAAAACUUGUUUUAUGCGCGGUAGAGGAGCGUUCCGUAAGCCUGCGAAGGUGGAUUGAGAAGUCUGCUGGAGGUAUCGGAAGUGCGAAUGCUGACAUGAGUAACGAUAAUGCGGGUGAAAAGCCCGCACGCCGAAAGCCCAAGGUUUCCUUGCGCAACGUUAAUCGACGCAGGGUUAGUCGGUCCCUAAGGCGAGGGCGAAAGCCGUAGUCGAUGGGAAGCAGGUUAAUAUUCCUGCACCUCGCGUGAGUGCGAUGGAGGGACGGAGAAGGUUAGGUGUACCGGGCGUUGGUUGUCCCGGGGAAAGGCGGUAGGUUUGAAUCUUUGGCAAAUCCGGGAUUCUUUAAGACCGAGCACCGAGACGAGCCUUUAUGGCGAAGUCACUGAUACCACGCUUCCAGGAAAAGCUCCUAAGCUUCAGCUCACGAAGACCGUACCGUAAACCGACACAGGUGGGUAGGAUGAGAAUUCUCAGGCGCUUGAGAGAACUCGGGUGAAGGAACUAGGCAACAUGGCACCGUAACUUCGGGAGAAGGUGCACCCUUUUUGGUGGCUCAUGCGAGCUAUAGCUGAAGAGGGUCGCAGAAACCAGGCCGCUGCGACUGUUUAUCAAAAACACAGCACUCUGCAAACACGAAAGUGGACGUAUAGGGUGUGACGCCUGCCCGGUGCUGGAAGGUUAAUUGAUGGGGUCAGCCGCAAGGCGAAGCUCUUGAUCGAAGCCCCAGUAAACGGCGGCCGUAACUAUAACGGUCCUAAGGUAGCGAAAUUCCUUGUCGGGUAAGUUCCGACCUGCACGAAUGGCGUAACGACAGCGGCGCUGUCUCCACCCGAGACUCAGUGAAAUUGAAAUCGCUGUGAAGAUGCAGCGUUCCCGUGGCAAGACGGAAAGACCCCGUGAACCUUUACUAUAGCUUUACACUGAACGUUGAGUUCGUCUGUGUAGGAUAGGGGGGAGGCUAUGAAACUGUGGCGCUAGCUGCAGUGGAGCCAUCCUUGAAAUACCACCCUGUCGUGCUUGACGUUCUAACCUAGAUCCGUUAUCCGGAUCAGGGACCGUGUAUGGUGGGUAGUUUGACUGGGGCGGUCUCCUCCUAAAGAGUAACGGAGGAGCACGAAGGUACGCUCAGCGCGGUCGGACAUCGCGCACUGUGUGCAAAGGCAUAAGCGUGCUUGACUGCAAGAUCGACGGAUCAAGCAGGUACGAAAGUAGGUCUUAGUGAUCCGGUGGUUCUGUAUGGAAGGGCCAUCGCUCAACGGAUAAAAGGUACUCCGGGGAUAACAGGCUGAUACCGCCCAAGAGUUCAUAUCGACGGCGGUGUUUGGCACCUCGAUGUCGGCUCAUCACAUCCUGGGGCUGUAGUCGGUCCCAAGGGUAUGGCUGUUCGCCAUUUAAAGUGGUACGCGAGCUGNGUUUGGCACCUCGAUGUCGGCUCAUCACAUCCUGGGGCUGUAGUCGGUCCCAAGGGUAUGGCUGUUCGCCAUUUAAAGUGGUACGCGAGCUGGGUUCAGAACGUCGUGAGACAGUUCGGUCCCUAUCUGCCAUGGGCGUUGGAAGUUUGAGAGGGGCUGCUCCUAGUACGAGAGGACCGGAGUGGACGAACCUCUGGUGUUCCGGUUGUCACGCCAGUGGCAUUGCCGGGUAGCUAUGUUCGGAAGCGAUAACCGCUGAAAGCAUCUAAGCGGGAAGCGCGCCUCAAGAUGAGACUUCCCGGGGCACAAGCCCCCUAAAGGAACCAUAUAGACUAUGUGGUUGAUAGGUCAGGUGUGUAAGUACAGCAAUGUAUUGAGCUAACUGAUACUAAUGAUCCGUGCGGCUUGACC
rnacentral:rRNA from 1 species